UACGAAGGGUGCAAGCGUUACUCGGAAUUACUGGGCGUAAAGCGUGCGUAGGUGGUUCGUUAAGUCUGAUGUGAAAGCCCCGGGCUCAACCUGGGAACUGCAUUGGAUACUGGCGAUCUGGAGUGCGGUAGAGGGUGGCGGAAUUCCCGGUGUAGCAGUGAAAUGCGUAGAUAUCGGGAGGAACAUCCGUGGCGAAGGCGGCCACCUGGGCCAGCACUGACACUGAGGCACGAAAGCGUGGGGAGCAAACAGG
rnacentral:rRNA from 1 species